GCCUGCUCUAAAUGAAUUGAAAAAUAUCCACAGUUUAUAAUAUACAGCUCUACUAUUUUUGUCCAUUUCAUCGUUUUCCUUAGAAUGGACCAACACGAAAGGAAUUGAUCCGCACGGUCAACGCCGUCCAUGUGGGCAUUGCAUUCCGUGAUGCAGGCAGGCUUUACAAUAUUCUCUCCCGUUUUUCUAUAUUUUUUUUCCUGUUGUUGAGCUAGAAGUGUCGUGGAUCGUUGACAUCAUUCGGACAACCCGCUUGUCUUUCCAUGCUAGGAGAAGACUGUCGCCUUUUCUGGAAAAUGUGAUGUCACCUUUUGUCAUUCUUGAUGUCUUCAUUUGCAAAUUUGGCAGCAAACCUCUACUCUCCCUAAUGGACAAGACAGCGUGCUUGAUGUCUAAGGUCCAUGACAGAUGGCACGGGGGACACGAGAAAACUCGUGAGCCGUCUGAAAGGUGUUAAAAUCGCUUUUACUUUAAAAAAUAGAAUAUAGUAAGUCUAACUAUGCUGGUCAGGAGGGAAACAAGGUGUUGUUUAUUUAUCACAUUUGUAAAGCCCUGGGUUGGCUAAUCAUUUUGUUUGUGGCUUCUGCAAUAUUAAGGUUUCCAAACCCUUUCCUUCCUCCUCAGCCCUUCUGUGUGUCUGGCAGUGCUUCUGUCCCUCCUGCCUCUGCAAAUGGCUUCAAAGGACACGGAUGAAACUCUUUGCAAAGUGACAAUCCGUAUGCAAGCACGAGGGCUUUCAUUGCAAGUUUUGUCACUGGGUACGGUGUGCCCUUCUGCCCAUCAAACUGCUUCUUAGCUGGGAUGGAUCAAGGAAUCGACUUGUAAUGACAAGUCAGUCUCCUGACUUCCCAGCUGCUUUGGAACUUUUCCGGGGACAGGAAGGAAGAAGCCACGAAUCGAAGCGUGCUCUUCAUCCAUCUGUCCCGAAGCUGCAUGUCCUGCCGCUGCUGGUCAGGGUCUGCCCCGCACAGGGGUGUCAGGAUUCUUCCCCGAGCAUCCAAUAAUUGCAGAGCCUUGAACGAGAGACCUGUGGCUUUGCAGAGAUCCAUCGCAAAGACUUUGCGAUCUGUCGUCAGAAAGCCCGUGGCCACGAACCAUGCUGACCGUGUUGACUCCGUACACACUGGAAUGGAAAUAUUUUCCUCCGAGUGAAAAAAAUGAUAGCAUUUCCAGCCAGAGAGGGGGCUUCUAAACCACGGCACCCUUCAAAAUCCUCAAGAUUCACUCAUCCUGCAAGCCCCUGUCCAGCCUUUCCUGAGUGCCUGGCAGCUGAGGAUAAUAAGGAAAGAAAGCUCGAGACCCUCCAGCGCCACCCCUUUGUUCUGUGAUUUCUACGUUUUAUUAUUCCGCCUCCGAGCUUGGAUCUGCUCCCUUCCCUCAGAAUGCCAUGCCGAGGGAUCCGUUUCCAAGUUCCUUUGGCUGGAAGGCACAUCCUGAAGCAGGAUGUACCCUCAGAGACGCAGGGGUUCCUCAUGGUUUAUGGCCCGCAGAGAGUUCCUUUCCGGCUUUGUAGCACAGCUAGACCCACCUAAAAGCGAAGUUGCAUAUGUGCAUGUUUAUACGAAGCAUAAAGAACACAAGAAAGGGUUCAAGACAUGAAAAAAGGGUGGAGGAAGAUAAACAUUUCAAGAUUCAGAUCAUGUUGCUGCCCAGACUCCCAGCGUCUCCGAGGAAAUAGCUAGAAGGGCAAUUCUAGCUUCCUUCCAAGGAAUAAAGAGUUUGCUGCGAGCAGAGAACGUGCCAAGAAAGUGCCAAUUUGUGUCACACUAACAUCUUUCUCUUAAGGCUGAACGUGGCCUUCGGAAACGUGAACCUUUGGCUCCGGUGAGCACGAGUCAGCCUUGAGGGUUUGAAAUUAGGCUCUUCAGAAGGACCGAGGGAAAUCUGAGAGAUCAAUUCAGACACCCCCUAAUUAGGAAAUGUACCGACGCCAGAGAUGCGUUUGCAAAGAGUGGCAGGGUCAAAUUUUCCAUGCCACUCGGGGUGAACUCAGAACGAUGGAAACCCUGCAAACACGUUUGGAAAUGAUUUCGCUGGAGACAGAGAGAGACAGUGACUGCUGGAGGGAGGAAGAGAGGACAAAAGGCAAACCAAGGCGGGAUGCUGUCAUCGAGAAGACUUGUUGGCAGGGAUGAGUGGAAGAAGGUUCUAGCUUUCCUGUCUCAGACAAAACAACCUUCAAAGGCCACCUUCUCCUAGCCGGGGGGGAGAAUGUAACCACCAAUGCAUUCUGCAUAUUUAAAACUGUCCUUUCUGCGUUUAGAAUUUUCAUAGCACCAGCCUCCUGCAAACCUCAGUAAUGAAUGUAGCAUGAUGAUCCUUUGGGGGUUGUAGACACAAUCUAAGAACAAGUGACUCCGGAGUAACAGACUUCACAGCCGGAGAUAAUUUCCAUUGCCUAAUGGGCUUUACCCCUGAAGCUCUCAUUGUUUCACUCUCAUCCCAGUCGGGUCUUUGUUUGCCUUACCUCUUUGGGGAAAUCGUUGUGUAAGGACCAAAUAUAAACGGUGACAUAGCCUUUUCCACUUUAUCUUUUCCAGGAUAAUGGCUCCCCUGCCCCACUUCCCACCGGCAGAAGGAUUAGGCCCAAAUGGGUGAUGAAUUGCUCCAAACAGGCUGACAGCCCCAGAGAGAGGCAUGAGAGUAAAUUCGACUAGCUGAUUACCGACAGAGAGCAAAUUGGCCACUUGAGAAUUCAGUGGCUGGAAUGACAAAUGAGAAGAUGGAAAUCCUCACCAAGGGACUGGACUUUCUGAUGAGUCCAAGUGCUGAUGAGCAAUUUCCAUGCCCCUCCCUCCCUGCUGUGUUGAUGGUUUACGUCUGAUAGGACAGCAUUUUGCAUUGGGGGCUGUCAUUCCUAAAAGGGUGUUUGGAAAACUUUGAAGUACUUAAUAAUAACCAGGAGGCGUUUGGGGGGCCCCGGGCAGUGGAGUGGAGGACGCCCGUGUUGGGCUUAUGGAAUGUUCGAUUGUAGACAGAGCCCAUGCCUGGUUGGUGUGGUUUCAGUUUUCAUUCCACCACCCCAUAAGGCAGCCUUCCAGGGUUUUCUAGACUCUGGAAGAAAAUAAAAAACGAGAGGAGCAUUCUUGGCCAAGGGAUCUAGGAUUUCAACAUGUGGACACGCUGAGUCUCCUAUUAAUGGUCAAUCACUAAAAAUAGAAAUAAUUUGGGACUCCUUUGAAGAGAGGCCAUUUUUAUUGGUCUUCAUUUGAAUUAAUCCAUCAAGGGAGGAGGAUACAUAAUGAGCCGUAGACAUGUUUAGUGGGGCUACGUCAUACAUACAUGAAGAGAUCAAACAGGGCCAUCAACCGUCAACCCCCAAGUGGACACAGACCUUCCUGGGAAUUCCAGGAAUUAAGAGGAAAAUGGAGGUGGAUGGCAGGUAAGUUAGGUAAUCAGGAUACAAUCCAGACAGAAAGGGUGAUAAGACUUAGGCUUUGAUGGAUGGCUAGAACUAUAAUAAUUUCUGGGUGGGAAUCACUUGAGUCAACAAUAGUAGUGAUUUUUUUUUUUUUAAAGUGAUUUGGUGCAGAGUAGAAUGGCUUAUCAUGAGCGAAGUGGUUUGGAUACAGGAGUCCGGAAAGGUGAGACCAGGCACCAAGUUGUAUAUGUAUGAAUGGGCUUCCAACACCAGGCAAGGAAUUGGGUUUGAUCUUACAAGCACUGGAAGCACAUUGAUGGCUCUGUGUCAAGUUAGAACUGUUUUAGAAGUCUGUUUGUCCCACAAAAAAGGAACAACAACAACAACAACAAAAAAAAAAAAACCAAUAUUCUCUGGAACUUCACCAAUAGGUAAAACCAACAGGUAAGGCUGCCAUUUUGAUUCUCCUUUGGUCUGUGGGACCAGAGCUGUGGAAAUUAAGGAUGAACUAGCCCAGGGCCUGGGACAUAGACUAACUCCCCACACAUCGUUAAAUGCACAAAUGAUGCUGAACUACCUAGAACCAGUCUACUGUUUCCUGGAACAGAUGAGGGAGACCAGAGGUUACCUUAGAUGUCUCCAGAGGCAGCCGUAGAUCAUUGGAAGAGGCCCGGUUGGAAGUCACGUGAACUGGGCAUGUAGCUAUACCUUCUUGGAUCUGUCUAUUUCCUUGCAUGAAAAGGCAUGGAUGAGUUUCACGAAUUAGCUUUACCUGCAGGGAGAUUUCUAUGUGUAUUUUGGGGGAGAGAGAUGCCAUUCUUAGCUCGUGUUGGAUUUUCCAGAGGAGUCAUGAGCCGAGAUAAGGUUGGGAACCUCCGGAUUGUGUUUCUUUUAAACUAGAAGAGUCGGUGAUUUUCCUCCGUUAGGACAAUUGGAACACAAGACGCCAAAAGGUCUGCCAAUUUUGUCACCGUGUAGGCAGGCGGCCUGUGGCUGACUGGUUUGACCGAAAUGAGAAGGAAAGGAUGUUUUUCCAGAAUUGUCAACUCAACCUCAGAUUCCUCACUAGUCUACGGACCAUUAUUGAUCUGAUCAGCCGUCCCAGGGUGUCGUUGCUAACCAUCAAAAGGGACACAUCAUUGAAAAGCAGUUGCUCCCAUCGGAACGUGACAUUGGCGGUGUGUGACCUCUGACCUUUUUUUUUUUUUCCUGUUUCUUCUUCCUUUCUUUAAGUGAGAGUGCUUACAAUGGUCUCUGUUGUAAGGUUAUUGGAGAGAAUAAGCAGGUAAUGAUGGGAAGAAAGCAUUUGGGCAAAUGAUACCCUUCCGCUGUUAAGGCUAUUCUUCGAAACAAUACGCAGUGAUUUGUUUGUAGAAUGGACACUUUCGGGAGUCACUCUGAUUCGGGACUUGCCCAUAAUGGUAUGACGAUGGCCAGAGAACAUGAGUAGUUGGAGCAAACUGUCGCGCCCGCCUCGCCAGCAAGGAAGAUGCGGCAACUGGAGUUCUUCUGACCGUGCUUU